rnacentral:rRNA from 1 species
GAAACCGUGUACGUACAAGCAGUGGGAGCACGCUUAGGCGUGUGACUGCGUACCUUUUGUAUAAUGGGUCAGCGACUUAUAUUCUGUAGCAAGGUUAACCGAAUAGGGGAGCCGAAGGGAAACCGAGUCUUAACUGGGCGUUAAGUUGCAGGGUAUAGACCCGAAACCCGGUGAUCUAGCCAUGGGCAGGUUGAAGGUUGGGUAACACUAACUGGAGGACCGAACCGACUAAUGUUGAAAAAUUAGCGGAUGACUUGUGGCUGGGGGUGAAAGGCCAAUCAAACCGGGAGAUAGCUGGUUCUCCCCGAAAGCUAUUUAGGUAGCGCCUCGUGAAUUCAUCUCCGGGGGUAGAGCACUGUUUCGGCAAGGGGGUCAUCCCGACUUACCAACCCGAUGCAAACUGCGAAUACCGGAGAAUGUUAUCACGGGAGACACACGGCGGGUGCUAACGUCCGUCGUGAAGAGGGAAACAACCCAGACCGCCAGCUAAGGUCCCAAAGUCAUGGUUAAGUGGGAAACGAUGUGGGAAGGCCCAGACAGCCAGGAUGUUGGCUUAGAAGCAGCCAUCAUUUAAAGAAAGCGUAAUAGCUCACUGGUCGAGUCGGCCUGCGCGGAAGAUGUAACGGGGCUAAACCAUGCACCGAAGCUGCGGCAGCGACGCUGAUGCGUUGUUGGGUAGGGGAGCGUUCUGUAAGCCUGUGAAGGUGUGCUGUGAGGCAUGCUGGAGGUAUCAGAAGUGCGAAUGCUGACAUAAGUAACGAUAAAGCGGGUGAAAAGCCCGCUCGCCGGAAGACCAAGGGUUCCUGUCCAACGUUAAUCGGGGCAGGGUGAGUCGACCCCUAAGGCGAGGCCGAAAGGCGUAGUCGAUGGGAAACAGGUUAAUAUUCCUGUACUUGGUGUUACUGCGAAGGGGGGACGGAGAAGGCUAUGUUGGCCGGGCGACGGUUGUCCCGGUUUAAGCGUGUAGGCUGGUUUUCCAGGCAAAUCCGGAAAAUCAAGGCUGAGGCGUGAUGACGAGGCACUACGGUGCUGAAGCAACAAAUGCCCUGCUUCCAGGAAAAGCCUCUAAGCAUCAGGUAACAUCAAAUCGUACCCCAAACCGACACAGGUGGUCAGGUAGAGAAUACCAAGGCGCUUGAGAGAACUCGGGUGAAGGAACUAGGCAAAAUGGUGCCGUAACUUCGGGAGAAGGCACGCUGAUAUGUAGGUGAAGCGACUUGCUCGUGGAGCUGAAAUCAGUCGAAGAUACCAGCUGGCUGCAACUGUUUAUUAAAAACACAGCACUGUGCAAACACGAAAGUGGACGUAUACGGUGUGACGCCUGCCCGGUGCCGGAAGGUUAAUUGAUGGGGUCAGCGCAAGCGAAGCUCUUGAUCGAAGCCCCGGUAAACGGCGGCCGUAACUAUAACGGUCCUAAGGUAGCGAAAUUCCUUGUCGGGUAAGUUCCGACCUGCACGAAUGGCGUAAUGAUGGCCAGGCUGUCUCCACCCGAGACUCAGUGAAAUUGAACUCGCUGUGAAGAUGCAGUGUACCCGCGGCAAGACGGAAAGACCCCGUGAACCUUUACUAUAGCUUGACACUGAACAUUGAGCCUUGAUGUGUAGGAUAGGUGGGAGGCUUUGAAGUGUGGACGCCAGUCUGCAUGGAGCCGGCCUUGAAAUACCACCCUUUAAUGUUUGAUGUUCUAACGUUGACCCGUGAUCCGGGUUGCGGACAGUGUCUGGUGGGUAGUUUGACUGGGGCGGUCUCCUCCUAAAGAGUAACGGAGGAGCACGAAGGUUGGCUAAUCCUGGUCGGACAUCAGGAGGUUAGUGCAAUGGCAUAAGCCAGCUUGACUGCGAGCGUGACGGCGCGAGCAGGUGCGAAAGCAGGUCAUAGUGAUCCGGUGGUUCUGAAUGGAAGGGCCAUCGCUCAACGGAUAAAAGGUACUCCGGGGAUAACAGGCUGAUACCGCCCAAGAGUUCAUAUCGACGGCGGUGUUUGGCACCUCGAUGUCGGCUCAUCACAUCCUGGGGCUGAAGUAGGUCCCAAGGGUAUGGCUGUUCGCCAUUUAAAGUGGUACGCGAGCUGGGUUUAGAACGUCGUGAGACAGUUCGGUCCCUAUCUGCCGUGGGCGCUGGAGAACUGAGGGGGGCUGCUCCUAGUACGAGAGGACCGGAGUGGACGCAUCACUGGUGUUCGGGUUGUCAUGCCAAUGGCACUGCCCGGUAGCUAAAUGCGGAAGAGAUAAGUGCUGAAAGCAUCUAAGCACGAAACUUGCCCCGAGAUGAGUUCUCCCUGACUCCUUGAGAGUCCUGAAGGAACGUUGAAGACGACGACGUUGAUAGGCCGGGUGUGUAAGCGCAGCGAUGCGUUGAGCUAACCGGUACUAAUGAACCGUGAG